GACGAACGCUGGCGGCGUGCUUAACACAUGCAAGUCGAACGGAAAGGCCCUGCUUUUGUGGGGUGCUCGAGUGGCGAACGGGUGAGUAACACGUGAGUAACCUGCCCUUGACUUUGGGAUAACUUCAGGAAACUGGGGCUAAUACCGGAUAGGAGCUCCUGCUGCAUGGUGGGGGUUGGAAAGUUUCGGCGGUUGGGGAUGGACUCGCGGCUUAUCAGCUUGUUGGUGGGGUAGUGGCUUACCAAGGCUUUGACGGGUAGCCGGCCUGAGAGGGUGACCGGCCACAUUGGGACUGAGAUACGGCCCAGACUCCUACGGGAGGCAGCAGUGGGGAAUAUUGCACAAUGGGCGGAAGCCUGAUGCAGCAACGCCGCGUGCGGGAUGACGGCCUUCGGGUUGUAAACCGCUUUCGCCUGUGACGAAGCGUGAGUGACGGUAAUGGGUAAAGAAGCACCGGCUAACUACGUGCCAGCAGCCGCGGUGAUACGUAGGGUGCGAGCGUUGUCCGGAUUUAUUGGGCGUAAAGGGCUCGUAGGUGGUUGAUCGCGUCGGAAGUGUAAUCUUGGGGCUUAACCCUGAGCGUGCUUUCGAUACGGGUUGACUUGAGGAAGGUAGGGGAGAAUGGAAUUCCUGGUGGAGCGGUGGAAUGCGCAGAUAUCAGGAGGAACACCAGUGGCGAAGGCGGUUCUCUGGGCCUUUCCUGACGCUGAGGAGCGAAAGCGUGGGGAGCGAACAGGCUUAGAUACCCUGGUAGUCCACGCUGUAAACGGUGGGUACUAGGUGUGGGGUCCAUUCCACGGGUUCCGUGCCGUAGCUAACGCUUUAAGUACCCCGCCUGGGGAGUACGGCCGCAAGGCUAAAACUCAAAGGAAUUGACGGGGCCCCGCACAAGCGGCGGAGCAUGCGGAUUAAUUCGAUGCAACGCGUAGAACCUUACCUGGGUUUGACAUGGAUCGGGAGCGCUCAGAGAUGGGUGUGCCUCUUUUGGGGUCGGUUCACAGGUGGUGCAUGGCUGUCGUCAGCUCGUGUCGUGAGAUGUUGGGUUAAGUCCCGCAACGAGCGCAACCCUUGUUCACUGUUGCCAGCACGUUAUGGUGGGGACUCAGUGGAGACCGCCGGGGUCAACUCGGAGGAAGGUGGGGAUGACGUCAAGUCAUCAUGCCCCUUAUGUCCAGGGCUUCACGCAUGCUACAAUGGCUGGUACAGAGAGUGGCGAGCCUGUGAGGGUGAGCGAAUCUCGGAAAGCCGGUCUCAGUUCGGAUCGGGGUCUGCAACUCGACCUCAUGAAGUCGGAGUCGCUAGUAGUCGCAGAUCAGCAACGCUGCGGUGAAUACGUUCCCGGGGCU
rnacentral:rRNA from 1 species